rnacentral:rRNA from 2 species
CCUGAGAAACCCAAAAGAUCGAAUGGGGAGAUUCAUCGUCAGCUCAUUUUGUAUAUAUAUAUGUUGCGAUGUGAGUUACUACCUUGUUGUAGUAUUGCUUGCACGUUCUUAUAUAUUUAAUUGCAAGAUGUUGUCGGCGUGCACUUCUCUCCUAGUAGGACGUCGCGACCCGUUGGAUGUCGGUUUACGGCUCAAGUGAUAGUCUUUAAUGUAAUUUAAAAAUCAUUUAAGAUCCUUGAUGUUUUCUAACCGGCUAUUCGGCGGUAUUAAUUUAUGGUAUUUAGCCGCUAUAUAUAAAUAAUAAGCGUUCAUAACCGUCACAAGCGAGGCCAAUUUUUUAUUACUGAUAGUAUGGACCUAGUUGCCAUCGUUAGUAUUGGCCAGCUGUUGGUUGUAUGGUUAUCUAGAACUGGCUAAAAUAAAUUACCGAUCAGCGAUGCUACUGCUUUGGGUACUUUCAGG